GGGCAGCCAGCGGACACCCCUAUAUACCAUGUCUAAUCUAAACAUCUUAAAAAUGGUCUCUCUGUCACUGGACGAUACAGCUAUACUGGCAAUAAUGGACAUUUUGUCCCACGGCUUAUAUCUGUCUUUUGGUAUAUAUACCCAAUAACUGUACGCUCUCAUUAAAAGGUCCAGUUUUCCCUAGAGACAGAACAAGUCAUUUUAUUUUUGCUAAUCUGUGGCCAUGGCGAAGUCUCUUCUUAUCGUUGUGACUGUCUGUCUGACUGUACAGUUUUAUGUCGUCUCGUCGUUUGCUUUAAAGAAAACUAACCACGGGCAACUUGAGUCACUCGACAUGAUGAUAAAACGGUUGAUACAAUCCGCGAAAUUUUACGCUCCAAGACAGGAGUGUUUGGAUACGGUCAGUGACUGCGAGACCCAUACCACGGGUCACUGGAUGACUCAAUGCUUCAGCGCCUACUACAACCAAAACUGCUGUGCCUACUGCAAAGCAAAGUCUGAAAUUGUCGUCAGUUAGAUGUUGACCCAACAAUGCGCAAAUAAUAAAGGCAAACCAUAUCAAACUCCAAUGACGAAUAUUUCAAGAAAAAUGUUUUAAAUAAUAA